CCCAGCCCAGUAGCCCACGCAAUCGUCCGUCUCGUCCGUCUCCAACACAAUCCGCCGCCGCCGUCUCCCCUCAUCCCCGUCUCUCACAUCCCGUCGCUUCCGCCGUCGGCCGUCCCGAAUUCUUCGUCCGCCGUCCCUCCCCGCACUCAGGCACGCGUACACCUAUCUUCCUCGCUCGCCUGGUUCCGUGGUUCGUGUACGAUUCACAGCGGAGUAGGGGGUCAGGUUCGGCUUCCAUCCAAACCGGCCAUAUUGACCACGCGAAACCCUAGACGCCACGGAGAUGGAGAAUCUCCGCGGCCUCGCCCAGUUCUUGCUCGCCUCAGCUCGCGGGGAUGGAGCAGGACGGCGCCGCCCGUCCCCUCGCACCAGGCAGGACGACGGCGCCGUGGAUGGCUGGGCGCGGAACGACAGCGAGCCCCCUCCUGUACGGCGCUCAGGCGGAGUGCCCCGAGGUCGUAGAUCCUCCUCCUUGCCGGCGCUUCCGCGGCCACGUCUCCGCUGCUGCCUCCGCUUGCGCGACCCUCAACGACGACUCGGUGGGGAGGAGCCCUGCGACGACCUCGACAACGCCUGCUCCCCCGACCACAACUACUGCGUCCAAGAAAGCCACAUGGAUUGGGGAUAUGUACCUCGGUUUGGGUUUAAAGGGGCAAUCUUUGAGCAUUUGUAUAUCAACUAUCGAGGAUCUCAAGUUGACAUGGACCGCACUAUGAUCAAGUGCAUUCUGGUGCUAUGAUGAUUGUGAUAGAAGAUGUUAGCUGCAGAAGCAAUCACUAUGUCUCAGCUCCAAUAUUAAAAAUCAGUGCACCUGAAAUACGACACAAUUUUUGUCAUCUGGAACUGCGCUUAUAAGGUGUUUGGUCUGAAAGCUACGCUCCUGAAUACAAUAUGAUAUAAAAGGUUCAUGAAAUCAUCAGGUAUGGAAAUGCUUGACCGUUUUUGUAAAUCACUUAGUACAAUAUUAUCAGUUUGUUUUUUGCAUUAUUUCCCAGUUCUCUUGCAGUCUAUUCAACAACCUAUCUUCCUGCCUACUAGAUAAAAGAGGGGUUUUGUUUACUUAACAUGGUUGCCUGAUUAACAUAGUCAUGGUUUCUGUUAGUUAUUUUUUCCACUACCAAAGCAACAACUUAUGUUCCUACCUACCAGAUAUACUACUCCUUGAUUGCUUAGCUCCCGGCUUAAGAAGCUCCACCAUUCUUUUAUAUAAUAUUAGAAAAAAAAUUGAGUUCUAACUUUGUUGAAAGACACGCACAGUUCUGAUGUUCUGGGCCCAAUGUUCAUUUCUAGAGGCAAAUACUCUCGGAUUUCUUAGUGAACUGUAAUCCCAUCGAGAUAACCCCCCUCGAUAUAGCUCCCUUUAUUUGCACGACACAAUCUAGCAUAUGACGGCUCUGAUUUGGAUUGUGCGUGUUUCUCCAAAAACUAGGAUUAUAUACCUGAGAACAAACAAAUAACGUUAUAAACUUACCUCAAAGCCUAUGGGUUGACUGAAGCUUGAUAAAUAGUUUCAGAUGCACUAUGGUCUCAUAACAGUAGAAAUAAACUUCGAGGGAAAGAGAACCAUAAGUAUAGGUGACUGCAUAGUAGAAGACGUGUAAUCGUGUUGCAUUAUACUGUCUUUAUAGAAGCCGACAAAAUCAGAGACAUCCUAAAUUUGGUUUUCUGUUCUUGUCAGUUAAGAAAAGAAACAUUAACUCUUGGAUUAUCAGUAAGGGAAUAUGCCUUAUUAGCAUACUCUUAUGGUGGUUAUUAUUGCUCAACGUUGUGAGGAAAAAGAAGAAUCAGAUUUUUCUAUUUGUGGUUAUAUCUUUUGGAUAAACAAUAGAAGGGUAAACUGCGAAGAAGAAACAUAACGACCACUAGUAGAUAUAUCUUUAUUUUGAAUUAAACUAAAGUUGCCAUGAUAGCAAUAUUUUAGAAUAUUCAGAUUUUUUUCAAUAUUUAUGGUGAUUAUAUCUUUUGCACAUUAACACUGAAACUGAACUAUUUUUGUCGGGCUAGAGAAGCGUAAUUUCAAUACAAACUGCAAUUGCUUGGGCAAGAGAAAUCAACUCAAUACUACAAUUUUCCAUAUGAUGUAGUAAGAGGGGGCGUACCAUUGUAAACCGAUGUAGGGUGAAGGCUAGCCGCAUCUUUGGCGUGUGGUCAAACCCGACAAGCUGCAACUAUGUGGAGCAUCCACAUUACUGCCACCACAUGCUUGCUAAAACAGUUAAUAUGUUCGUCCCCGUACAUCAGACACAUCUUCGGCGAGCAUGCUUGAUGGCAAAAUCGGGCAACUAUUGUUGUAUUGAGUAUCCAGAGAUGAUAACCGUCAUGAAAAUAAUUGCAUGGAUCGAUGAUAUCCCACACGGUCUUGUUUGCAUCAAAAGCGUUGGAUAAGAAUACACCAACCAUUUUGGUAAUGGGCAUCUCAACAGUUCUAUUUGGGCGUGAGCGGGUAUUGCCCCUCGCCAGGUCGUAUGUGAACCUAGCCGACAUGGAAGGCUCCAGCGACGAAAGGGCGGGUGGCUCCUUGUCGGGAAAGGUGAACCUGGAAUGAGUCAGCGAUUCGGGUGGUCGAGGGGGGGGGGGACCGGCCUGGAUUGGGCUGACUAGCAGCGGCGGGGGUGGCAGCUGCACUCACGGCCUUGGCGGUGGUCAAGGCGGGGCUAAGAGUAGUGAUGGACUCGUUAGCGGCAGCCAGGUCAUCAUGGCGACGUGCGAAGUUCCUUCUGACUAGCGGCGGCGUGGGUGGCAGCUGCACUCAAGGCCUUGGCGGUGGUCAAGGCGGGGCUACGAGUAGUGAUGGACUCAUUAGCGGCGGCCAGGUCAUCAUGGCGGCGCGUGAAGUUCCUUGUGAAGCACAUCCUCUAGCCCAAGUGGUACAUUUGCUCAUUUGUGAUAUGUUCUGUUAGUGUUAUGUUCUCCUUGUCUCUUGCUCUGUUUCUCUUGCCCACAUGUACAUUUGUUCAUUUUCGUAGACCUGCUAUGUUCUAUUGUAAUUCGAGUUCAAAUGUCAAGUUGCGCCGCAACAAAAUGCUGCUACUUUAACUUCUGUAAGCGCAGAGGCGGCCGUUGCAGCUGCUCACAUGGAACGUAUGCCCUGUUGCAGCCUCGCAGGUACCCACAUCUCUCCCUCCCUCCCUCCUCUUGAUUUGAUCCCCAUAAAUUCUCAGCUUUAUUUCUGUGGAUUUUUGUUUUAUCUAUGCCUGUUAUGUCUUUGACAAAAUCCAAGCAGAUUGAGGGGAAGAUUUUGUGCUUAGUUUUUUACUCAAGUAUUUCAUCUUUCUCUCAAAUUUAGCUCCAAUGAACUGAAUUAUUUUGGCAUCACUUUUUUCCCUGGAGAGCAUUAUCAUCUCAUCUCACCACACUCAUGCCACAUAACCUGGCGAGCUCACUCCUUACUCAUUCUAUGUACCACAUUUGUAGAUCAGUUUAAGGUACUGCUAAUGAACCAAAAGUUAAUGUUGUUGGCCUUGCCAAAAUGCCAUGAAGCUUAACAUUCGACACUUCCUUCCAAGGAGAAGGGAAGUGAUGUCUGACAGGGAAAGAAACUAGGCAAAGCUCUGGAUGCUCGAUUGAGUACACACCCAAUUAGCACUCUACUUCGUCGGUUGUCCACUGAAAUUUGCUCCAUGACAUCUUGCUUGCCAUGUGGUCACCUUACCUCAAAAUUGACAUAUUAUAAUCUAUGAACUACUACAAGUAAACUAUACAACCAAAUGAUUGUUCCAAAAAUUCAAAUUUGCACCAUGCUUUCCACCUGAUCUGCCAGUUUAACUAUCUUAAUUGUACCGCAGACAUUUGAUGUGUGGUAGUAAGUGUGUGAUGAAGCAUGGUGUAGUAGCAAACUAGCAACUGAAUUUUUUGACAUACCAUGGAUUUCUUUCUGCCUCUAUUUGAUGCUCGGGGGUGCUGAUCCGAAGGUCCGUGCGGACCCUGCUCUGGACAUACGUCUCCUUAAUUUCCGUGUGCAAUUCUGCAAUCCAUGCUUUACACUUUAAAAUGAGACAAUAAAAUUUAGCUCAUGUUGCCCUUCCAUCAUGCACCCAGAAUAUAUUACCUUUCUGCUUUUUAUAUUUUGGUUGGGCAUGUUUCAUGAUCAGAGGAUCGAUGAUUUGUUAUGCUAGACAAUGGAAAUAAGAUUUGGUGGAAAACAAAUGAUAUGAUAGGUGAUUUAUGAUGUAUUACUAUUUUAGAUAACAUUAUCCAAAAUUAGUUUUUGGUAUACGCAAACUUUGGAAUUUGUUGAUAAAGAAAGAUCACGCCUAAUUUGCUGGCUCUCUGUUGACACUUAACAGUACUGGCCUCCUGACUCUAGUUGGAUAAUGUUGAUGACUCGAUAUGCGGAGAGAGGUUAGGAAUUGUUGCUAUGGACUAAAACAAUGCAGAGUUGAAGGUUCUGAACUGGGAACUUGAACAAACAGUUUGCCUACCUUUCUUGUGGAGUUGAUUUUUUAAAAGUGAAUGUUCUUCUGGUUGGUGCUUCUUCAGUGGGAUCUGGACCAUGGAAUCUUCAAUUGCAUCUGCUUGGUUCACUGGGAAUUUCCUAGUUUUAAUUUGAUUGACAACUAGCAAAACAGUCCGGCUAAUUUGAUGAUUAAUUCCUGCUGAUUGUACACUUUCAACUCAAGUUCCUGCUGAUUCUACACUUUUCAACCCAAGUUACAUUGUACCAUAUGCCAGUUUGUUUCAUACCUCAUCCAUCCUGGAUUUUUAGACGCAAAGCAUCUGGAUUUUAAAACAAGAAAUAACAUGUCUUUAACAAAAUUAUUCACUCAAAGACCAUGCCCAAGAUUGGAUCUCUCAUCUUUACAGUAAAUUUGGACAGCAGGGAUCUCUCAUCUUUACAGUAAAUUUGGAUAGCAGGGAUGUUCAGUAGAAAAGCUAUAAUAGCAUGGAAGCGUUGUUUCUGAACUCGAGCACAUAUGUGCUCUUUAUCUGGGCAGUUCGUCAUAGCAUUGGGAUGCGGUGCAUUACUUUCUGUGUCAGGCUGUUGUUCACUGGAAAAGGGGGAAAUGCAGAAGGAGCACCUCCUUUAACGAUUCAAAACAGGGCCGUGGCUCAUGCCGUCAUUCCCGUCCUGAUCCGUGGCUCGUUUAGGGCCUCAGUAGCUGAGUAAAUGGAGGGAUGGGUUGCUGGGCAGAGUUCUCUCCUACCUCCGGCUCCUGGUUUUUCCUAUUAUCGAGUGAGGCUAGAUGGGCGGCGGAGCUUCUAUUCGAAGGAAACAAAGGCUAGCGCAGAAGAUGGAAUUUCUGAUGCAAUCGAUUAAAAGAACCACCGUGCUGGAGGACGUUAACGAUGGCAACGUACUCAUGGAGCCACUACACUGCCAGUGGUCGCAACCGUUGCAGAUCCGCUGCCGCCCAUGGCGGCAAUGAGUGCGGAAGGCCAGAUCUGUGCGGCUGAUGGCGUGGUCGAUACUGAAAUCGAUGGUUUACUGCAAGCAUCCGAGCAGUCGAUUACUCGAUUUGUUAGAUCGACCCAAAAGCCCCAGCAUGGACUCGAAGUGAGGAUCGGUGCUGCCGCACCAGGAAGGUCACCUUGUCGUAAUCGCACUAGUGCACUGGAGAAGGCAAUUCAUGGUUUUGCGGAAAAUCCAGGAGAUGAUGUGAUUGUCCCUGCACUAGGAACAAGCUUUGAUUGUUUGAGUGAAGCCUUCGACUAUUGCCAUUGGACUUCGAUUCUUUUGGAUGAAGCAUACGACUUUUACAAGCUUCGAUUCUUUGACUAAUCUAUAUUUUAGUAAUCCUCCUUAUUUUCUGAAACUGAUGUAUAGCGGUAUGAUGUACAUUUAAAUGGAUUUCUAAAGUGACAGUAAAUUAGACAACUAUUUUACGAUGUGUAGCCAAAAGCCAAAAGGAUAAUUGCACUAUUAUCAGAAUCAGAUAUGAUUUCAAGUCUGGAGAAAAUCUGCCUUUUCUUCUU